AGUCGAGCGAGCUUGCCUAGAUGAUUUUAGUGCUAGCACUAAAUGAAACUAGAUACAAGCGAGCGGCGGACGGGUGAGUAACACGUGGGUAACCUGCCCAAGAGACUGGGAUAACACCUGGAAACAGAUGCUAAUACCGGAUAACAACACUAGACGCAUGUCUAGAGUUUGAAAGAUGGUUCUGCUAUCACUCUUGGAUGGACCUGCGGUGCAUUAGCUAGUUGGUAAGGUAACGGCUUACCAAGGCAAUGAUGCAUAGCCGAGUUGAGAGACUGAUCGGCCACAUUGGGACUGAGACACGGCCCAAACUCCUACGGGAGGCAGCAGUAGGGAAUCUUCCACAAUGGACGAAAGUCUGAUGGAGCAACGCCGCGUGAGUGAAGAAGGGUUUCGGCUCGUAAAGCUCUGUUGGUAGUGAAGAAAGAUAGAGGUAGUAACUGGCCUUUAUUUGACGGUAAUUACUUAGAAAGUCACGGCUAACUACGUGCCAGCAGCCGCGGUAAUACGUAGGUGGCAAGCGUUGUCCGGAUUUAUUGGGCGUAAAGCGAGUGCAGGCGGUUCAAUAAGUCUGAUGUGAAAGCCUUCGGCUCAACCGGAGAAUUGCAUCAGAAACUGUUGAACUUGAGUGCAGAAGAGGAGAGUGGAACUCCAUGUGUAGCGGUGGAAUGCGUAGAUAUAUGGAAGAACACCAGUGGCGAAGGCGGCUCUCUGGUCUGCAACUGACGCUGAGGCUCGAAAGCAUGGGUAGCGAACA
rnacentral:rRNA from 1 species